CUGUGCAUGACAAUUCUAAGAUGAAACAACAAACAAUUAAUAAAUCAAUCUAACAUAAAUCUACACGCGGCCAAUAAAGAAAGAGCACGUAAUAACAACAUUGAGUGAAAAAAAUUACACACUUAAACAGGUUUUUAUUUAAAAACUGAUCGGAAACGAAUCGAGAAGUUAUUCGUGGUUAACAUUUUCAAUUUCACUCGUAUACAGUUAGAUAACAGGGCAAAACACGGUGCCCAUAAACCUUACAGCGUUUGAGUUAGGCUGAAGCAACAAAUGGGCGCCGGAUGGACGCAACAACACAAACUAAACAGCAACAACAACAAUGCGUAAACUAGAUAUAUUGCUACAGGCUUAUUGUAUGCACCCAACCGACAAACACAUUUCAUACAAAAAAAGAUUUAAAACAUUUAGUGGUGCAAGUAAAGAAAGGAAAAAAUAUGACAAAGUCAACGAAAAUCUGAGAAAACUCUUGAAUUUGAUGUUAUGUUUAACAAUGUUAUUGACUUGAGGACGGAAAAACGAGAGAAAGUAUUAUCUGUGCUGUUGCGAAAUGUCAGUAUUACAGCUACCGACGAUUCGUGUUCUGCUAGCCAGAUGACGUUGACAGUUUUUUUUUCGUAGUCCAGACGACAACACUGCUCGCUCAGGGCUCGCCAAUUCGACGAAUAUAAGUAUCGACUCUCUAUCAGAAAAACACUCUCUUACUUAGGUCCAUAAGAGAGCAGAGUUUCACCAAAUUUUAGCAAUAUUUUUAACGUAUGUUAUUCGCAUUCCAAAACUAGCUGUUUCUUUAAUAUUAGUUAACUAUUUUUUUUUCUGUAAUUUCUUACCUGAUCCGCAACAUCUUCUGUUUUUGCAAUAUAUUCAUUUGGGAUGUUCAUUGUAUUUUGUGUAUUAAACUAAGUCGAAUCUGCAACCUUUACGUUUUUUGACUGGGUCUGGUUUGUGGACUUUCGCUUGUAUGCCAGUGUCCUGUUUGUGUGCGGUUUUUGUGUAGUUCCCUUUAAUUUUCUUUUAACUUUUAGUUCUUUAACUUUGUCACUUUAUUUAUUUAAAAAUUACUAAAAAAAGUCAAAACUAUUACUUUUCUAAUAAAACUUAAAAAGAAAA